AGAGUUUGAUCCUGGCUCAGAACGAACGCUGGCGGCAUGCCUAACACAUGCAAGUCGGACGCACUCAGCAAUGGGUGAGUGGCGGACGGGUGAGUAACACGUGGGAACCUGCCCUGGGGUCUGGGAUAACUGCGGGAAACUGCAGGUAACACCGGAUGUGCCCUUAGGGGGAAAGUUUACGCCCUGGGAUGGGCCCGCGUCGGAUUAGGUAGUUGGUGGGGUAAUGGCCUACCAAGCCUUCGAUCCGUAACCGGUCUGAGAGGAUGAUCGGUCACACUGGGACUGAGACACGGCCCAGACUCCUACGGGAGGCAGCAGUGGGGAAUCUUGGACAAUGGAGGCAACCCUGAUCCAGCGACGCCGCGUGGGUGAUGAAGGCCUUCGGGUCGUAAAGCCCUUUUGCCGGGGAAGAUGAUGACGGUACCCGGAGAAGAAGCACCGGCUAACUCUGUGCCAGCAGCCGCGGUAAGACAGAGGGUGCUAGCGUUGUUCGGAAUUACUGGGCGUAAAGGGCGCGUAGGCGGCUCGUUUAGUCGGGUGUGAAAUCCCAAGGCUCAACCUUGGAACUGCAUUCGAUACUGGCGGGCUAGAGACCGGAAGAGGUGGGUGGAAUACCCAGUGUAGAGGUGAAAUUCGUAGAUAUUGGGUGGAACACCGGUGGCGAAGGCGGCUCACUGGUCCGGUUCUGACGCUGAGGCGCGAAAGCGUGGGGAGCAAACAGGAUUAGAUACCCUAGUAGUCC
rnacentral:rRNA from 1 species